UCGGCGAAAGCGCAUCCCGUCAUAAAAUUGGCAACGUUUUCCCUCCCUCCUUUUCCCCCUCUUAAAUGUCAGUUAAUGUCGUCUGUAAAGCACGUUGAAUUCUGGGCUUUCACUCUUUCUCUCUCGUGUUAAACUGAUUUGUCCGUGAUUGCCCAAAGAUAAUUUACUGGGUUUAAGGACCCGCGUGUGUGUGUGUCGCUCUUCUUAUUCUGAGAGACGUCACUCGAGUUAUCUCAAGUGUGUGACGAUAUAUCCAACAUUUGUGUGUCAUAGGACACUAAUUGGCCUAUUCACCUCUGGGUGUUGACCCUGUGUACGAGUGAUUCUCACCUUGUGUGUAGCCUGUCUUCACAGGAACCACCACUUCCAUUAUCAUAAGUACACCGUGUUCAUUUAUAUGAGCACAAGUCAAGUCGAACACAAUACAAGAGAUUUUGCUCUUACGAGCCAAAUCAGGUUUUCAUUAAGUGGAAACAAUAGAGCUUAAAAAAAUCCUCUUCGAAUUUUUCUUCAAUACCUUUUUCAUACUGAAAUAUGCUGCUGGUACGCCUAGACGGUAAACAUAGUUGUACAGCAGAAAAAGUGAGCUAAGAAUUGAAAAAGAAAGUCCCAAAGGCAAUUUAUGUUUUUUUUCAGAAUUUUCGUCUGAUAAUUGUAUUAUCAUGUUGGCUAGACGACACAAUUUUGAGAAAUAAAUAUAAUA